AUGAUUUCCAGCAGCCCUUCCGAUCCCCACUUUCUCUCCUGCUCCAAGGGAGGAACCACUCUGGCCUGGAAGCCUUUGCUAGGACUGAAAGGUCCGCACAUUGGGUACUUAGCAACGGUCUCAGCCCUGCUCCACGCAGGAACAGCUGGGCAGGAGCCUGGGUGUUCUCUGACCACGGCUGUUUCUGCAUGGCCAGAUCCGAAGGAGAAUUAUCUGGCAGUUCUGAGUUGGUUGCGCCGACUCCGGGAUGACCUCUCACACUGCCAUCGAUUGACUCGUUAUGUGGAUCAGAGUCUUGUUUUGUUUUUUGCUCUGUUUUGGCUAAAACUGAAUUUGUGUAAGGGAUGUUGGUGA
rnacentral:lncRNA from 1 species